rnacentral:rRNA from 1 species
UACGAAGGGUGCAAGCGUUAAUCGGAAUUACUGGGCGUAAAGGGCGCGUAGGCGGUUGUUUAAGUCUGUCGUGAAAUCCCCGGGCUCAACCUGGGAAUGGCGAUGGAUACUGGGCAGCUAGAGUGUGUCAGAGGAUGGUGGAAUUCCCGGUGUAGCGGUGAAAUGCGUAGAGAUCGGGAGGAACAUCAGUGGCGAAGGCGGCCAUCUGGGACAACACUGACGCUGAGGCACGAAAGCGUGGGGAGCAAACAGG